ACUCGAGGGUGACGAAAACCAUUAAUUGAUACAAAAGCUAAGAACAAGAAAUAAAUAAGGGUUAUAAAUUUAAAUACAAUGAGUUAAUAAUUUAGGAACGUGUUCAGAGCAUAUAACUAACUAGAGCUCUAAAAGAAUUAAUAUAAAAUUUAAUAAAUAAAAGGAUGAGGGUCCUACACCAAGAUGACUCGAAUAUGCCAAUGCGAAAGCGUUGACGUCGGGAUCGUAUGCCUCGAGUCUAAAUCCUGAAAGGGGGCGCAAAACAAGGGUGAGUGGACCAAGUUCAUAUAUAUAUAUAUAUAUAUGCAUAAUAUGAAAACAAUUAUGAACAUACUAACCCCCAUGUUUAUAAAUAAUGAAAACUACUAGCAUACUAGGUGAUAGGUUUUCUGAAACUCUAGCAUGCCAUAAAACAUCUCAAUAGGUAUAACGCGGAAAAACAUCAUAUCAAUCAUCGCGUAUAUCGUCUCAUAAGUGCGGUAUGUUGCUGGUAAGAUCACUGAAUAAUAAUACUCCCGACCUAAUGCCUGCACCUAAGUCUCUGUGCCCAUAGCCAGAGAUAACUCCAUCUCGGCCCAACGCCUUUCUCUGUGUCCUUCAGUUUUUGCUAGGGAUUAUUUCUCUCGGCCUAACUGCCAACACCAAAUCCUCACCCCAGGCGGCAUAGUGUCCACUAGGUACGCACAAAAAGUUACGCCUUUCAUAAAUAACCACUUCAUAGUACAAAGUCAUCCAUCAUUUAUACUAUAAGGAGGGGUUUCUAAAACAUGUUCUAGCAUCCUAUCGUCAUCCAUCAGAUAGUCUAACAGUUCAUGGUUUCAUAGAAAAUAUGAUAUAUUAAAAAUAUAGCUUAAUAUAGGCUAACAAUUAAUUCCUUACAAAAUAAUGAAACGAUAAUCAACAUUUCAGUAAACAUGCUUAACAUAAAAUCAGUUCAUAAACUCGUAAGGCAUGCAUUUCAUUUAUGCAAAUAAACUAUAAAAUUAUGUAAUUUUAAAAGGGGUCCAUCACCGUACACUGAUGGUGCAAAGUUGUACCAAAAAGGAAUAGUGGAAUCACAGCUAAUAAUUGCACCUAUUCACUUAAAGGGUACAUUUAGUCAAACACUACUCAAAUGAUUGAAUUUGGGAAAGCGGACUUAAAAAACGGGUCCAGGACGUCGAAAUUAGCCUAGGAGAGGUCCCGAACGAAACCCCGAAAAAUGAACUCUAAAGUCAACGUUGAUUGUUGACCGGUCCAAGUCAACGGUCAAAGUCAAAGUCAAAUUUGACCAUUGACUGAGUCAACAGUCAGAGUCAACAGGUCAAAGGGUCAGACUGGGCUUGGAGUUGGGUUGGGCCGAUUGGGCCCAAAGGGUUUUGGGUUUAGAGGGUUCAGGGAAAUAGGUUUAGGGUGAUGAGUUUGGGAAUGGGCUGAAAGCCCAAGCUUUAAUUGGUCCAAAAUGCUUAAAUAUAUGGGUCCUAAAUAGACGGGCCUAAUGUCCCAAUUA
rnacentral:lncRNA from 1 species